AUAAACAUUCUGUAGAUGUGUGUCGGUUUGAAAGGAGUAAGAAGAAGAGUUAUAUUGUAUAAUGUGAUUAUGUUUUCGAUUUAUAACUAGAAAUAAAAAAGAAGAAAUGAAAUUUUAGUUAUAACCUCGUAUACUUUGUUUAUUUUUUAAUAUUUUUGGGAUCAACAUAAAAAAAACUACAUAAAAUAAAAAGAGGAGAAGUCAAAGAGGAAAAUAAUCGACAAAACGAGAGGAACGGAUAAGAUAAAUAUCCAGAAAUGAUUAGGUUACCUGGGAGAAGAAGGGAAGAUGUGGAUAUGGAAGAUGAUGAAGGUUAGAAAUAAUACUACAAGAAUGAGAGGAGAAUUUGAUUGUUAUAAUCCACUAGAAAGGGGAAUAAACAAGUUGCGUAAACUACAGACCAAUAUGCAUAACAAAAUAUACAUUAACAUAAUAGAAGGAAGACUAAGAGAAGUAGACAAGAAACUGGAAGAAGAACAAGCCUUAAGUUAAUGUUAAGCACUAAGUCACCUCCAAACUUCUAUUUUUUAGGAAUUUUUAUUAUUUGAAAUGUCUAUUUUGUCGGAUUUGAAAGAUGACUCCUAAUUUACAUUGGAAGAAGUGAAAAAAUCCAUUUAAAAUUAUUAAUUUAUUUCUGUGGGGUCCACAAGAACUUCUAGGUAAUUAUUUCUAAUGGUAAAUUCAAAGUUUCUACCAAAAUUUAGCUCUUCGAAAAGUUUUAGUAAGCAAAAAGUCCAUUUUGAACGGACUAAGAAAGUGAUUGCCAGUUUAUAUAGGAAAAACUAAAAACUUUUUGCUAAAACCCAAUCAAAAUCAUUAAUUUAUAUCAAUGGGGUUCACAAGAACUUCUAGGUAAUUACUUCUAAUGGUAAAUUCAAAGUUGCUACCAAAAUUUAGCUAUUUGAAAAGUUUUAGUAAACAAAAAGUCCAUUUUGACCAGACUAAGAAAGUGAUUGCUAGUUUAUAUAGGAAGAACUAAAGACUUUUUGCUAAAAUCCAAUCAAAAUCAUUAAUUUAUAACAAAGGGGUCCACAAGAACUUCUAGGCAAUUAUUUCUAAUGGUAAACUCAAAGUUUCUACCAAAAUUUAGCUCCUCGGGAAUUUUUUUAAUCAAAAUUCCUAUUUUGCCCAAACAAAGAAGAUUGCCAGUUUACUGAGAAGAACUAAAAAAAUUUUGUAAAAACUCAAAAUCAUUGAUUAAUUUCAAUUGGAUCGACAGGGACUUCUGGAACUUAUUUCUAAUUGUAAACUCAAAGUCUCAACCAAAAUUUAGUUCCCUAGGAAUUUUUGUUAAUCAAAAUGCUCAUUUUGACAGGACAAAGAAGAUGAUUGCCAAUUUAUAUAUGAGGAACUAAAGACUUUUUGCUAAAAUCGCAUCAAAAUCAUCAAAUAACAUCAACGGGGUCCACAAGGACUUCUGGGAACUCAUUUCAAACAAUAAACCCAAAAUUUAGCUCAUUGCAAAUUGUUGCUACUUAAAAUACCUAUUUUGACCGUACUAUGAAGAUAAUUGUGUGUAAAUUGAAGUAUUUGACCUCUGUGUAUAGUUAUUCAAGCGUCUGAUGAUAAUGUGAUUUUGUUGGGUAGUGUAACAUUGUUUUUGCUGCAUUUUGAACGUGUCCAUAUUAUUGUUCUUAGUUUUUAUAUUUGUAUAAUGUAUUGGUGAGACUCGUGUUAGUAGAAUGUAAAUACUAGUGAUAAAUCAACAAAAAAAAACUUAAAUAAAAACGUUUUGAUAAAAAAAAAUUAUCAGUUACC